rnacentral:rRNA from 1 species
GACGAACGCUGGCGGCGCGCUUAACACAUGCAAGUCGAACGGAAAGGCCUGCUUUCCCUUGUGGAUUGCGGGUACUCGAGUGGCGAACGGGUGAGUAACACGUGAGUGAUCUGCCCCCAACUUGGGUAUAAGCCUGGGAAACUGGGUCUAAUUCCCGAUAGGACUGCAGGGUGGUGCCUGUGGUGGAAAACGACUUUCUAGUGGUUGGGGAUGAGCUCGCGGCCUAUCAGCUUGUUGGUGGGGUAAUGGCCUACCAAGGCGGCGACGGGUAGCCGGCCUGGGAGGGUGGACAGCCGCAUUGGGACUGGGAUACGGCCCAGACUCCAACGGGCAGCAGCAGUGGGGGAUAAUGGGCGAUGAGCGGAAGCCUGAUGCAGCGACGCCGUGUGGGGGAUGACGGCCUUCGGAUUGUAAACUCCUUUCGAGCGCGAGGAAGCCACCUGGUUGGAAGGGUGGUGACGGUAGUGGUAGAAGAAGCACCGGCUAACUACGUG